GUCUUGUCUCUUUUUUAAAGCUGCAGAACACAGCACAACAAGGAGGUGAUAGCUGCAGUGGUUCAAGCAGUAAAAGAUGCAGAACCAAAUUGGAGCUUCCACCAAGUUAGAAAAAAUUGGAGUCUUCAUAUGAAGAAUUCUCACAGAGGAUGGACCACAUGGAAGAAAAACAAGCGGCGAUAUCCCAGACUCUAGAAGUCCUACUCCACAAAAUUGAGAACAUGCAAGAAGAACAAGCGGCGAUAUCCCAGACUCUAGAAGUCCUACUCCACAAAUUUGAGAACAUGCAAGAAAACCAAGCAGCCAGGACACCCGACACAAAAACACCUACUGAACUUUCAACUCUUGUCCGUCACAUACACAAGAAUCUUGGAGAGCAGCUUCAGUGGAAGAUCCGGCCAACUGACA
rnacentral:lncRNA from 1 species